AAACUCCUGCCAUUCAUACUCUUCUAGCAGUAGAAAAAGUACCACUACUUGGCUAGUACCCAGCCACAUAUUUCCCAUUCUAGAGACAACUAUGGGACUUUACUGAGAGUGUCUUUUUUUUUAGUCAGACUAGGAAAGUUAACAGUUUUAAUGGCUUUUUUAAGUCAUAAAGUAUUUAUGAAGUACCCAUUAUGAGCAGAACUUUUUAAAAUUAAGAAUUGCUAAAGAAAUUAGAAGAUACAGUCAGCCCGUGAGGAUUUUACAAUUUAUUUAGGACAGAAGAUACUCAUAUUAUUAGAGAAUGCUAUAGGAAUUCAAAUUAAGAAUUCAGUUUCCUGGAAAGGAUGAUUGAUCAGAGGAACUAUCAUGAGGAAGAGUCUAGAACUGAGUCUUGAAGAAAAUGGAGAGUGGCAUUGACAGAGAAGAGGAAGAAAGACUUACUAGGGAGGGCGAACUACACCCAACAAAGGCACAGCAAGGAGAAAGUUCACCAAGGAAUGUUCUCCUCUAAGCAAUCACCCUGGGAGCACACCAAUAUCAAUAAUACUGCCAUUCCUGAGGACAUCUUGAGAACUCUCCUUUUGUAACCAGUUUACAAGACACACAAGAUGAUAAAUCUUCAAGGAUAUGUUAGUUUUUGUUUGUUUGUUUUUACUAAAUUUGUUCAUCCACUUUAUUCAACAUAUUUGACUCAGUGACAUUUGGCCAUUUGCAAAAUUAAAUCUACCUUCAAAGAAUAAAGUUUUUCAAAUGAAUGGGCAAUUUUUUUUUUUUUUUUUUUUUUUUGCAUUUCAAAAAGUUUUCAUGAUGGGGCUUAUUGAUAGAAAAUGCAAUUGAAAAUUAUCAGUUUUUAAACAUUGUUUAUAAAGUACCUGUUGCAAGGACAGAGCUAGAUAAUUACCCUUAUUAAUUAUUGAAAAAGACAAUGAAAGCACUUGCCAUCAGUGGAGUUUUAUUAAUGACACAGAAACUGAAGGAUCCUUUACCUUUUUUUAACUAUUUUUUAAAAUAAUUAUAGACUCAUAGGAUGUUGCAAAAAUAGAGUUCCAUACACCCUUCACCCAGCUUUCUCUAGUGGCGACAUGUAAUUGCAAUACAAUAUCAAAACUAGGAAACAGGCAUUAUAUAACACUGCUUUUUGUGUGCGUGUGUGUGUAUUUUUUGUUUGUCUUUGUUUUUGUUUUUGUUUGAGACAGAGUCUCCCUCUGUUGUUCAGGCUGGAGUGCACUGGCGUGAUCUCAGCUCACUGCAACCUCCCCCUCCCAGGUUCAAGCAAUUUUCCUGCCUCAGCCUCCUGAGUAGCUGGGAUUACAGAUGCCCACCACCAUGCCCGGCUAAUUUUUGUAAUUUUAGUAGAGACAGGGGCUUCACCAUGUUGACCAGGUUGGUCUUGAACUCCUGGCCUCAAGCGAUCCACUGGCCUCAGCCUCCCAAAGUGCUGGAAUUACAGGCAUGAGCUACCGUGUCUUACAGGCAUGAGCUACCAUGUCCGGCUCAGAAAUUGACAUUGUAUGUCACUGUUUUCUCCCCCCCGCCCCCAAGACGGAGUCUUGCUCUGUUGCCCAGGAUGGAGUGCAGUGGUGUGAUCUCGGCUCACUGCAAGCUCCGCCUCCCGGGUUCAUGCCGUUCUCCUGCCUCAGCCUCCCGAGUAGCUGGGACUACAGGCGCCCGCCACCACGCCCGGCUAAUUUUUGUAUUUUUAUUUUUAGUAGAGACGGGGUUUCACCGUGUUAGCCAGGAUGGUCUCGAUCUCCUGACCUUGUGAUCCACCCACCUCAGCCUCCCAAAGUGCUAGGAUUAUAGGCGUGAGCCACCGCGCCCCACCGUAUUUUCACUGUUAAGUACACUACAGGCCUUACUCAGUUUUUGCCAAGUUUUACAUGCAUUCAUGUGUGUACUGUUCUAUGUAGUUUUAUCCCAUGUGUAAUUCAAGUAAGCACCAUAACAAGGUAGAGAACUCUUCCAUCAAUACAAAGGAACUCAUUCCUGGUCCCCUCUUACAUUCGGACCCCCACCCUUUCCCUGUCCUGUGUAGGCCACCAAUCUGUUCUCAUAUGUACAGUUUUGUCAUUUUGAGAAUGUUACAUAAAUGGAAAUAUGCGGUAUGUAACAAUUUGAGGUGGACUGUUUUCCCUAUAUUGCCCUUGAGAUUCUAUUUGUUGUGCACAUCAGUAGUUUAUUUCUUUUUAUUCCUAAGUAGUAUUCCUUUGUAUGAAUAUCCCAGAGUUUUACCACUGAAGGACAUAUGGGUUGUCUUUUUUCUUUCUUUCUUCUUAUUGUUACAAAUAAAGCUACUAUGAACAUUCAUGUACAAGUUUUUCUGCAAACAUAAAUUUUCAUUUCUCUGGGAUUAAUGCCCUAGGACAUAGUGGCUGG
rnacentral:lncRNA from 10 species